CCUACGGGUGGCAGCAGUGGGGAAUAUUGCACAAUGGGGGAAACCCUGAUGCAGCGACGCCGCGUGAGUGAAGAAGUAAUUCGUUACGUAAAGCUCUAUCUGCACGGAAGUAAAUGACGGUACCUGAGUAUGUUUCCCCGGCUAACUACGUUCCAGCAGCCGCGGUAAUACGUAGGGGGCAAGCGUUAUCCGGAUUUACUGGGUGUAAAGGGAGCUUAGACGGUUGGCCAAGUGUGUAGUGAAAUGCCGCAGCUGAACUGCGGAACUGCUUUGGAGACUGGCGAACUAGAGUGCAGGAGGGGUAGGCGGAAUGUAUAGUGUAGCGGUGAAAUGCGUAGAUAUUAGGCGGAACACCGGUGGCGAAGGCGGCUUACUGGACCGCAACUGACGUUGAGGCUCGAAAGCGUGGGGAGCAAACAGGAUUAGAUACCCCAGUAGUC
rnacentral:rRNA from 1 species